CAAGGAGCAGAGGUUAAAAGCACCACUCCUGAGGCAACGCCUCUGUGACCUACAUCCUGUA
rnacentral:sRNA from 1 species